CCUACGGGAGGCAGCAGUGGGGAAUAUUGGACAAUGGGCGAAAGCCUGAUCCAGCAAUGCCGCGUGAGUGAUGAAGGCCUUAGGGUUGUAAAGCUCUUUUACCAGGGAUGAUAAUGACAGUACCUGGAGAAUAAGCUCCGGCUAACUCCGUGCCAGCAGCCGCGGUAAUACGGAGGGAGCUAGCGUUGUUCGGAAUUACUGGGCGUAAAGCGUACGUAGGCGGUUAUUCAAGUCAGAGGUGAAAGCCUGGAGCUCAACUCCAGAACUGCCUUUGAAACUAGAUAGCUAGAAUCACGGAGAGGUUAGUGGAAUUCCGAGUGUAGAGGUGAAAUUCGUAGAUAUUCGGAAGAACACCAGUGGCGAAGGCGACUAACUGGACGUGUAUUGACGCUGAGGUACGAAAGCGUGGGGAGCAAACAGGAUUAGAUACCCUGGUAGUCCACGCCGUAACGAUGAUAACUAGCUGUUCGGUUCGUCUACGAGACGUAGAGUGGCGGCGACGCUAACGUACAUUAAGUUUAAUUCCGUCCGUCGGGGUAGGUACGGGUCGGCGAAGAAUUAAAACUUAACUAAAUAGAAGUUAGUACGGCGUGAGACGUCGCCGAACGGACGACCGACCGAGGGGAAGGUAGGAG
rnacentral:rRNA from 1 species